UGGCUCAGUGGUGAAGAGCACCGGACUGCUCUUCCAGAGGUCCUGAGUUCAAUUCCCAG
rnacentral:tRNA from 1 species